AGCAGCCGCGGUAAUUCCAGCUCCAAUAGCGUAUAUUAAAGUUGUUGCAGUUAAAAAGCUCGUAGUUGAAUUUCGGGGUUCAUCCGUUGGUCGGGCUUUUUUGGUCUGUACUGGCGUGAUGGAUUCCUACCUUCUGAAUAACCAGCGUGUCAUUAAUUUGGUGCGCUGGGGAAGCAGGACUGUUACCUUGAAAAAAUUAGAGUGCUUAAAGCAGGCUAUCGCCUGAAUACAUUAGCAUGGAAUAAUGAAAUAGGACGGCAUGGUUCUAUUUUGUUGGUUUCUAGGAUCACCGUAAUGAUUAAUAGGGAUAGUUGGGGGCAUUAGUAUUCAAUUGUCAGAGGUGAAAUUCUUGGAUUUAUUGAAGACUAACUUCUGCGAAAGCAUUUGCCAAGGAUGUUUUCAUUAAUCAAGAACGAAAGUUAGGGGAUCGAAGACGAUCAGAUACCGUCGUAGUCUUAACCAUAAACUAUGCCGACUAGGGAUCGGACGAUGUUAAUUUUUUAAUGACUCG
rnacentral:rRNA from 1 species